GACGUAGGGCGCGAGCGUUGUCCGGAUUUAUUGGGCGUAAAGAGCUCGUAGACGGCUUGUCGCGUCGUCCGUGAAAACCCACAGCUCAACUGUGGGCUUGCGGUCGAUACGGGCAGGCUAGAGUUCGGUAGGGGAGACUGGAAUUCCUGGUGUAGCGGUGAAAUGCGCAGAUAUCAGGAGGAACACCGGUGGCGAAGGCGGGUCUCUGGGCCGAUACUGACGCUGAGGAGCGAAAGCGUGGGGAGCGAACAGG
rnacentral:rRNA from 1 species